rnacentral:rRNA from 1 species
UACGGAGGGUGCAAACGUUGCUCGGAAUCAUUGGGCGUAAAGCGCACGUAGGCGGCCUGAUAAGUCGGAUGUGAAAGCCCUGGGCUCAACCCAGGAAGUGCACUCGAAACUGACCGGCUUGAAUAUGGAAGAGGGUCGCGGAAUUCCCGGUGUAGAGGUGAAAUUCGUAGAUAUCGGGAGGAACACCAGUGGCGAAGGCGGCGACCUGGGCCAAUAUUGACGCUGAGGUGCGAAAGCGUGGGGAGCAAACAGG